rnacentral:rRNA from 1 species
UACGUAGGUGGCAAGCGUUGUCCGGAAUUACUGGGCGUAAAGCGCACGUAGGCGGCUCUUUAAGUCGGGGGUGAAAUCCUGGAGCUCAACUCCAGAACUGCCUUCGAUACUGAAGAGCUUGAGUCCGGGAGAGGUGAGUGGAACUGCGAGUGUAGAGGUGAAAUUCGUAGAUAUUCGCAAGAACACCAGUGGCGAAGGCGGCUCACUGGCCCGGUACUGACGCUGAGGUGCGAAAGCGUGGGGAGCAAACAGG